rnacentral:rRNA from 1 species
UACAGAGGGGGCGAGCGUUGUUCGGAAUUACUGGGCGUAAAGGGCGCGUAGGCGGCCCGCUAAGUCGAACGUGAAAUCCCCAGGCUCAACCUGGGAACUGCGUCCGAUACUGGCAGGCUUGAAUCCGGGAGAGGGAUGUGGAAUUCCAGGUGUAGCGGUGAAAUGCGUAGAUAUCUGGAGGAACACCGGUGGCGAAGGCGGCAUCCUGGACCGGUACUGACGCUGAUGCGCGAAAGCGUGGGGAGCAAACGGG